rnacentral:lncRNA from 1 species
AAACAGUUUUGCCAGAGAAAGUUGAUAAUCCAUCUGAUUCUAAUGACAACAUAGGGGUUAAAACGUAAAAUUAAAAACAAUAGGGAAACAUUAUAGAAUAUAGAUAAACUUCAGGGAUCAAAAUGAAAGAAUACAAGACAGAGAAAUCUACCGUCUCUUCUUCAAACCAAACCCAGAACCUCCGUCCGACCAAUUCCGGUGCAGCUAAGAACCAGAGAUAGAGAGAUAGAGAUGCGGAGGAUCAAUUCACUGUACGGAAGAAUUGGUCUCCUAAAACGAGUACCCGAGAAAUCUACGAAGCAAGCUCAUACAUUUCUCGCAUCUCUCUCCUUCUCUACGGAAGGUGCUUAUGGCGGUGACGGUGAGUUUCAGCAGAACAGCUCCAAAGUCAAGAUCUUUGACCGAGACCUCAAGCGAAUACAUCGUGAUCGAGCGGCGUGGCUUUCUCGCCAAAAAAACGAUUCUUUUGUUGACGCUGUUGCAGAUAAUCUACUUGAUCGCUUAGAGGAUUGUAAGAAGAGUUUUCCCACUGCAUUUUGUUUGGGAGGAUCUCUUGGUGCUGUUAAGAGAUUACUACGUGGUCGCGGUGGGAUUGAGAAGCUUAUCAUGAUGGAUACUUCAUAUGACAUGAUUAAGUCAUGUAGAGAUGCUCAAGACGAUUCACUCGAUAACUCCAUUGAAACCUCUUACUUUGUUGGUGAUGAAGAGUUUCUGCCAGUCAAAGAGAGUUCGGUUGAUUUGAUCAUUAGUUCGUUGGGGCUUCACUGGACAAAUGAUCUUCCUGGAUCCAUGAUACAGUGCAAGCUAGCACUGAAGCCGGAUGGCUUAUUUUUAGCAGCAAUUCUUGGUGGAGAAACCUUAAAGGAGCUGAGAAUAGCAUGCACUUUGGCUCACAUGGAGCGGGAAGGAGGGAUUAGUCCUCGGCUAUCACCUUUGGCACAGGUUAGGGACGCAGGGAAUCUGUUGACCAGGGCGGGUUUUAGUCUUCCUGGUGUUGAUGUUGAUGAAUAUGUAGUUAAAUACAAGAGAGCGAUGGAUCUUAUAGAGCAUCUUCGUGCGAUGGGUGAAACCAAUGCUCUUCUCGAGAGAAACAAGAUUUUGAAUCGUGAAACUGCUGUUGCCACGGCAGCCAUAUAUGACUCCAUGUUUGCCACAGAGGACGGCACUAUACCCGCUACUUUUCAGGUGAUUUACAUGACAGGAUGGAGAGAACAUUCGUCUCACCCGCAGGCCAAACGAAGAGGUUCAGCCACCGUAUCCUUCACGGAUCUCCAAAAGCAAUUUGGCGGACAAUCUUGAUGGAAUGAUUGAAGAAGAGAAACAUUCAAUAAGCAGAGACUUUACAAAUGACACUUGAGAGAGAAAUCAGUGACUUAAGCUAUAAGGUACUUGGAGGAACUCUUGUAGAUUUGUCGGAGUCUUUCACUGGGCGAAAGCAUCACAAUUAGGACGCCUGCUUUCGCCCAUGUAUUUCGUAUCGAAUAAUAGCUGAUCAGAAACAUAUUUGUAUUUUACAAAAAUAUUACGAAUACUUAAAAAUCUCAAUCUUCAAUCAC